GAUUUUAUGGUUCCAUGAUUUUCCGAUUUCCUGAUUCCACGAUUCCCUGAUUCUAUUAUUCCACGAUUUCAUCAUUCCCUGAUCCUGGUUUUUACCCCGCCGAGGCCGGAGCAGCCGAGUUUGAGAGCGGACAGGGAAUUUCACCACCUCCAACCUUCCACCCGAAUUUUUGUGCAACAUUCCCGAGGGAAUUCUCCUCCUCAGGAUUCAGGACCUUUGUGCACACAGGGGAGGAUCCUCGGGAACUUUUGCCCCGCCAGAUUUCAGCCGUGACUCAGGAGUUGCCGAACCGGCCCGGCCUGGCCCGGGGCUCCCGCAGGGUUCGGCUCCACCCAUCUCGCUGUUGUGUCCAGCUCCGGGCUGGACACGGCGGUGAACUCAUCAAACAAAGGCUUAAUUAGCA